rnacentral:tRNA from 1 species
AGCCCCGAACAGGCAAAGUGCAAAUUUGACUAANNCACCCAGAAGGUGCCGGGGCUU